rnacentral:rRNA from 1 species
GACGAACGCUGGCGGCGUGGAUUAGGCAUGCAAGUCGAACGGUAUCAUCCUUUCGGGGGUGAGAGAGUGGCGAACUGGUGAGUAACACGUAGGUUAUCUACCCUCAAGACGGGGACAACCCAGGGAAACUUGGGCUAAUACCGGAUGUGAGCAACUUUUAGUUGUUUGAAAGGUGGCGUAAGCUGUCGCUUGGGGAUGAGCCUGCGUCCUAUUAGUUAGUUGGUGAGGUAACGGCUCACCUAGGCAAUGAUAGGUAGGCGGCCUUAACGGGUGGUCGCCCACACUGGGAUUGAGAUACGGCCCAGACUCCUACGGGAGGCAGCAGUCGAGAAUAGUCUACAAUGGUCGGAAGACUGAUAGUGCGACGCCGCGUGAACGAUGAAUCCCUUCGGGGUUAAAGUUCUUUUAUAUGUGAGCAGUGCUUCUUAUAUUAACAGUAUGGGGAAGAGAUAUUAGAAUAUGAAUAAGCAACGGCUAACUCCGUGCCAGCAGCCGAGGUAAUAC